GCCUUCUUUAGAGGAUAAGGUUGUUAGUUGGCAUCAGUAUAGGCUGUUCUCAAGCCAAGGCCAAGUGAGUGUCCUUAAAAUGCAGAGAGGAGGGAGAAAGGAGGGAGAAAGGGUUUUGGCAGAUAUCUUAUUAAAUGAAAUCUCUAAACAAACACAACAAUAAAUCCCACUUGAUAAUAAGUGACGCAUCUACAGCAAACUCCAGAAAGGUUGUUCGUUGAGUGGGUUCAUAGUAAAGGUGGCAGGUAGCCUCGCAGUUAGAGCGUUGGGCUAGUAUGUGAAAGGUCACUGGUUUGAAUUCCCAAGCAGACAAGGUGAAAAAUCGGUUGAUGUGCCCUUGAGCAAGGCAGUUACCCCUAAUUCUCUCCAGGGGUGUUGUACUACUAUGGCUGACUGGUUAAAACAACACUGCAUCCAUCCAGUGUAUGUGACAAUAAAACAUAUUUUUUAUGAUUAUUUGGGUAAGGCUUUGUAGGGGAGAGUGGGGUAAGUUGAGCCACCCUUGUUUCUAGGAAACCAUACACAAAAUGAAUUAUUUGACCAAAUAUUUAGGAAGAGGUCAUUUCAUGGACUCCGUGAAGGGAUAAACUACACUGAAAAAGUGGGACAGGAGAAACUGUAUCUAGGCCAACCUGCAUCUCCACCAGUAUUUGAGUGGAGGAUACUGUCUGCAAUGGAAAAAAGGUCAACACGGUGCAACAGUCCACUCCCAUUAUGGAAAUGCAUCCCAAAAUUCUCCAAAAUCCACCAUAUCCCAAGUCUCAUCUUAAAGGUUUUGUCAAGGACAAGCAAGCAGACCACGAACAAUUAAACUCUAAACCGGACACACAAAGAUCCCACAUCUACACAGGUCUAUUUUAAAAGCCUCCUACUCCCUAGCAGAAACAGCAGAAGAGAUGUUGGACACAUCAGUGUGGUAGUAGACCGAGGGUGAAGUCAAACAUCACACGCUACACGAUCUCACUGCAUUGACACAAUGGGCCGGCGACACCUCCAUUUGCCAAGGCUUCGCCUGCUGGUCCCUCAGCUUCGACAGGGGUGUUGACUCACAGCUGAUAUGAAUGAGGUGGAAAGCCCCCACACAAUACAGUGAUUCUAUGCUAACGGCCGUGGAUUGAACCUGUGACUCAUGCCAGCGCUACAUUAAAGAAAGCACAGAGGGGGUGUCUGGCCAUGAUCGGGUCUCGCUAAACGUCACCCAGAAUUCCCGUGGGAUGUGCUUUGGGCUUAGAGUCUCAGAACAGGCAGCGGAGGCUGAUUUCUGAAUGGAUUUACAAUUUCAAAUCAGGACAUUACAUGGCCAAGAUGAACAUGUCGGACCAGCAACACAGCACAUACUCAGGCGCAGUGUAAACACAUUAUCAAUAUGGCUGGAAAUGGCAGCAGGGUUCUCCAGUGUUUGCAGAGCAAAAGACAGGCUGCUGAACAUCUCUUCCAUGCUUCAGGGAGUGUGACAUAAUCUGUGUGGAUGGACUAAUUGACUACUUGAUUGAGUUCCCUGAAACAAUUGAUCCAGCCUAGCAGCAAGUCAACACCUGACUCCGGACUUCGUUUUCCCCGUUGUAGACAGAAUCCAUGAGGGCCUAAACAUCUCUCUGCAUUGUGCCACUCAGGAUUAGAGGAGAUGGAUGGACAUUGAAAAUAGAGAGGGUCUGGAAUUCUCCCCUGGAGGACUCAGUCAUGCUGAACGCUGACAUCUGAACGCAGCAGGGGGACUGCAUGCCUACUGCCUUGACUUCAGUACUUCCUGCAGUCAAACGACCAAAUCGCCCUCUAGUGGCCUCAUGGGUGGAAUGUUAUUCAUAAUUUCCUAAUUAAUAAAUAUUUUUUUAUCCGGUG
rnacentral:lncRNA from 1 species